UUCUAUCAUGCCACUUGGGCUAUGGAAUUUGUGUGCUGGUAGGAGAACCCCGUUCAGGAUCACAGAUCUCCUUUGACCCUUUGCUGCUGUUCACUGGGCAUCAAUGGAAGGGUGGAAGUUGAAAGUUCCUUUCCUCAAACUGAUGUCUGAUUACAUGAACAAGAAGUGUAACACAGAUGCAUUAAUAACUCUCACUUUGCCUUUUGAUGAAAAUCAAUUAAGGAUUCUAAUUGCUGUGGGCAGGGAAAAGUAUUAGCAGCAUUCUGUUGUUUUAAGCUCCUGAGCAAUGAUGAGUGAGAUGUGAGCAGCACAGCACUUCUCCUUCAGAAUCACCUGCCUGACUCCUUCUCAUUAUAAAAUCAACCUACUAAUAAAAAAAUUGACUAAUCUUUGCUUCUAGAGAUGUAUAAGUCUAAACUUGGAAACAUAUGAAUAGAUUUAGGAGCCAUUUUGGUUUGGAACUAAGAAUUCAAAAAUGUGUCCAUAGCUUUGAGGUGUGUGAAAGAGAGCAGAGCAUGUAGGAAGGAGGUUAUCCUGGAGAUGGGUCUGCUUCCAAGUUAUUCAGAAUUAAACUAAAUUAGCCACUUCAUCAUGUAAUUAAAAUAGCUCAAUUGGAAC